rnacentral:misc_RNA from 1 species
AUGGAAGAAACGAAAGUUAUUUAUCACAUAGACGACGAAGAAACCCCGUAUUUAGUAAAGAUACCAAUAGCCCCGGAUAAAGUGACUUUAGUGGAUUUUAAAAAUGUUCUCAACAGGCCUAACUACAAAUUUUUCUUUAAAUCGAUGGACGACGAUUUUGGUGUCGUAAAAGAAGAGAUCAUUGAAGAUUCAGCAAAUUUGCCAUGUUUUAAUGGACGAGUAGUUAGUUGGUUGGUUUCAGCCGAAGGCUCAAAUCAAUCAGAUGGCGGUUCUCAAUGUACAGACAGUGUGACACACCAAUCAGAAUCUAGGUUACCUCCUGCGAUAGCAGACUCAGUUUGUACUGAUACAGAAAGUAUUAUAAGCUCAAGACAGGGUAGAAGACAUCACAAAUACUCAUCUCGUAUUAACGGACAUCUUCCAAGAGUAUAUGAAUCUGCAUCUGUGCUUAGUUCAGAUUUGGAAACAACCAGUUUUCAGUCGGAAACCACAGGAAGGCAUACUGUCCUAUCAGAAUGUUCCAGUGUUAGUAGGUUACAUGUGGCAAGUAGAAAAAGACCUCAAAGGCGACGGAAACAGCGGUUACAGCCAAUGUCCAGAACAAGUUCUUACUCAAGUAUAACAGAUUCUACCAUGUCCUUAAAUAUAAUUACAGUUACUCUAAAUAUGGAUACAGUGAAUUUCCUUGGUAUAUCUAUAGUGGGCCAGAGCAAUAAAGGGGGAGAUGGUGGUAUAUAUGUCGGAUCUAUAAUGAAAGGGGGGGCAGUAGCUUUAGAUGGUAGGAUAGAGCCAGGUGAUAUGAUAUUACAGGUGAACGAUGUAAAUUUUGAAAAUAUGUCAAAUGACGAAGCUGUAAAAGUAUUAAGGGAAGUUGUACAAAAACCAGGACCCAUUAAGUUAGUAGUUGCCAAAUGUUGGGAUCCGAAUCCCAAGGGAUACUUUACAAUACCAAGAACAGAACCUGUUAGACCUAUAGACCCUGGUGCAUGGGUGGCACACACAGCUGCAGUGCGAGGCGAUCCAGUAGCAAGGCCACCUAGUAGUUCAACAGUCUCCAGCUCAUCAAUUGCCAGUACAAUACCAGCCAAUGAACGAGAAUGUCUCAUAGGUCCUGACAUGGAAGAACCACUAUCUGUCAACUCUCCGAUGUCUCAAGUGGUGCAAGCCAUGCAGAGGCCCGACAGCGGUUUGGAAAUCAGGGACAGAAUGUGGCUGAAGAUCACGAUUCCUAAUGCAUUUAUCGGCACCGACAUGAUCGAUUGGUUAUUGACGCACGUCGAAGGUUUCACAGAGAGGAGGGACGCCAGAAAAUACGCUUCUCACCUUCUCAAAGCAGGCUUCAUCAGACAUACCGUGAAUAAGAUCACUUUUUCGGAACAAUGUUAUUACAUAUUCGGUGACCUUUGUUCAGCGAUUACCAACCUCAAAAUACAGGGUGAUACAGAUAGUGUGGGACCUUUACCAAAUGUUCCUAACUACAUGCCAUAUAGCGGUACAUACAAUCCACUGGAGUACAUGCCGAUGCCAUUUUAUAGUGAGAAUACAGUAUACGGUUACAAUAAGGAAGAAUCAGUGUUAAGUGGAAGCGGUGGUUCGUCUGGCGGUUCUGAACACUUGAAAGACACGGCAGCUGGUCAGAGCAGCGCUUCGGACAGCGACAUCACCUCGUUGGGUCCGCGCUCCGCCGCAGGGCCGAAGACUUCGGGGAACGGCAACGGCAGCUCCAACGGCUCCGAGCAGAGCAGCGGAACACAAGUAGCGACCAACCCACAGUCUAAAGACAUUGCCGAUUACAUAUACAGACCACCACUUCCGGCAAACACAGACUGCCAUGAUUCGUAGAGACUAGGAACCAAAUAAAAAUUAAGAAUAACUUGUAAUAUACUGCAAUAUUUGAAGACCCCCUAUGUAAUAUAAAAUAUCCAAUAGAACCUGGUAUUAUUUUUUGAAGAAACCCACCUAUUUAGUGUACCGUGUCUGCUAAGUUAAGUAGGUUUGAAUGGUAGUUUGUAUUAACCAUAUCAGUAGAAAGUUACAGUCUAACAACUUUUCAAUUUUGGAGACAGUUAUCAAUAAAACAACGAGGAAGGGCGUUUCAGAUGAAACGGAUUGGAAAUGGUUUGCUCUGAUCCAGAAGAACGUUUGAAUGUGCCAUCACCUCCUGCUAUACGUAUAUAACUACUUUAGACUUAUUUUAUAAAAAACCCAUGGUUAUGCUUAAAACCCAAAAAGUAGAUGAUAUAUUGUUUCAAAAUUAAACUUUUGUAUAUUUUAUCUAUAUGUAUUUUGUAUUAAAAUAGUAUAUUGAUA